rnacentral:piRNA from 1 species
UGAGCGCCAUCUUCCCUGACAGGGUCC